rnacentral:tRNA from 2 species
GAUAUUUAGAUACUAAAUAUGAGUAGUAUCCGUAGGAAUAUUGUGUAAACGAGGUGCUCUACCAACUGAGCUAUAGCCCUA